GGGUUGUGAGGUUAAGCGACUAAGCGUACACGGUGGAUGCCCUGGCAGUCAGAGGCGAUGAAGGACGUGCUAAUCUGCGAUAAGCGUCGGUAAGGUGAUAUGAACCGUUAUAACCGGCGAUUUCCGAAUGGGGAAACCCAGUGUGAUUCGUCACACUAUCAUUAACUGAAUCCAUAGGUUAAUGAGGCGAACCGGGGGAACUGAAACAUCUAAGUACCCCGAGGAAAAGAAAUCAACCGAGAUUCCCCCAGUAGCGGCGAGCGAACGGGGAGCAGCCCAGAGCCUGAAUCAGUGUGUGUGUUAGUGGAAGCGUCUGGAAAGGCGCGCGAUACAGGGUGACAGCCCCGUACACAAAAAUGCACAUGCUGUGAGCUCGAUGAGUAGGGCGGGACACGUGGUAUCCUGUCUGAAUAUGGGGGGACCAUCCUCCAAGGCUAAAUACUCCUGACUGACCGAUAGUGAACCAGUACCGUGAGGGAAAGGCGAAAAGAACCCCGGCGAGGGGAGUGAAAAAGAACCUGAAACCGUGUACGUACAAGCAGUGGGAGCCUCUUUAUGGGGUGACUGCGUACCUUUUGUAUAAUGGGUCAGCGACUUAUAUUCUGUAGCAAGGUUAACCGAAUAGGGGAGCCGAAGGGAAACCGAGUCUUAACUGGGCGUUAAGUUGCAGGGUAUAGACCCGAAACCCGGUGAUCUAGCCAUGGGCAGGUUGAAGGUUGGGUAACACUAACUGGAGGACCGAACCGACUAAUGUUGAAAAAUUAGCGGAUGACUUGUGGCUGGGGGUGAAAGGCCAAUCAAACCGGGAGAUAGCUGGUUCUCCCCGAAAGCUAUUUAGGUAGCGCCUCGUGAAUUCAUCUCCGGGGGUAGAGCACUGUUUCGGCAAGGGGGUCAUCCCGACUUACCAACCCGAUGCAAACUGCGAAUACCGGAGAAUGUUAUCACGGGAGACACACGGCGGGUGCUAACGUCCGUCGUGAAGAGGGAAACAACCCAGACCGCCAGCUAAGGUCCCAAAGUCAUGGUUAAGUGGGAAACGAUGUGGGAAGGCCCAGACAGCCAGGAUGUUGGCUUAGAAGCAGCCAUCAUUUAAAGAAAGCGUAAUAGCUCACUGGUCGAGUCGGCCUGCGCGGAAGAUGUAACGGGGCUAAACCAUGCACCGAAGCUGCGGCAGCGACACUAUGUGUUGUUGGGUAGGGGAGCGUUCUGUAAGCCUGUGAAGGUGGCCUGUGAGGGUUGCUGGAGGUAUCAGAAGUGCGAAUGCUGACAUAAGUAACGAUAAAGCGGGUGAAAAGCCCGCUCGCCGGAAGACCAAGGGUUCCUGUCCAACGUUAAUCGGGGCAGGGUGAGUCGACCCCUAAGGCGAGGCCGAAAGGCGUAGUCGAUGGGAAACAGGUUAAUAUUCCUGUACUUGGUGUUACUGCGAAGGGGGGACGGAGAAGGCUAUGUUGGCCGGGCGACGGUUGUCCCGGUUUAAGCGUGUAGGCUGGUUUUCCAGGCAAAUCCGGAAAAUCAAGGCUGAGGCGUGAUGACGAGGCACUACGGUGCUGAAGCAACAAAUGCCCUGCUUCCAGGAAAAGCCUCUAAGCAUCAGGUAACAUCAAAUCGUACCCCAAACCGACACAGGUGGUCAGGUAGAGAAUACCAAGGCGCUUGAGAGAACUCGGGUGAAGGAACUAGGCAAAAUGGUGCCGUAACUUCGGGAGAAGGCACGCUGAUACGUAGGUGAAGUCCCUCGCGGAUGGAGCUGAAAUCAGUCGAAGAUACCAGCUGGCUGCAACUGUUUAUUAAAAACACAGCACUGUGCAAACACGAAAGUGGACGUAUACGGUGUGACGCCUGCCCGGUGCCGGAAGGUUAAUUGAUGGGGUUAGCGGUAACGCGAAGCUCUUGAUCGAAGCCCCGGUAAACGGCGGCCGUAACUAUAACGGUCCUAAGGUAGCGAAAUUCCUUGUCGGGUAAGUUCCGACCUGCACGAAUGGCGUAAUGAUGGCCAGGCUGUCUCCACCCGAGACUCAGUGAAAUUGAACUCGCUGUGAAGAUGCAGUGUACCCGCGGCAAGACGGAAAGACCCCGUGAACCUUUACUAUAGCUUGACACUGAACAUUGAGCCUUGAUGUGUAGGAUAGGUGGGAGGCUUUGAAGUGUGGACGCCAGUCUGCAUGGAGCCGACCUUGAAAUACCACCCUUUAAUGUUUGAUGUUCUAACGUUGGCCCCUAAUCGGGGUUGCGGACAGUGUCUGGUGGGUAGUUUGACUGGGGCGGUCUCCUCCUAAAGAGUAACGGAGGAGCACGAAGGUUGGCUAAUCCUGGUCGGACAUCAGGAGGUUAGUGCAAUGGCAUAAGCCAGCUUGACUGCGAGCGUGACGGCGCGAGCAGGUGCGAAAGCAGGUCAUAGUGAUCCGGUGGUUCUGAAUGGAAGGGCCAUCGCUCAACGGAUAAAAGGUACUCCGGGGAUAACAGGCUGAUACCGCCCAAGAGUUCAUAUCGACGGCGGUGUUUGGCACCUCGAUGUCGGCUCAUCACAUCCUGGGGCUGAAGUAGGUCCCAAGGGUAUGGCUGUUCGCCAUUUAAAGUGGUACGCGAGCUGGGUUUAGAACGUCGUGAGACAGUUCGGUCCCUAUCUGCCGUGGGCGCUGGAGAACUGAGGGGGGCUGCUCCUAGUACGAGAGGACCGGAGUGGACGCAUCACUGGUGUUCGGGUUGUCAUGCCAAUGGCACUGCCCGGUAGCUAAAUGCGGAAGAGAUAAGUGCUGAAAGCAUCUAAGCACGAAACUUGCCCCGAGAUGAGUUCUCCCUGACUCCUUGAGAGUCCUGAAGGAACGUUGAAGACGACGACGUUGAUAGGCCGGGUGUGUAAGCGCAGCGAUGCGUUGAGCUAACCGGUACUAAUGAACCGUGAGGCUUAACCUUACAACGCCGAAG
rnacentral:rRNA from 1 species